UUUUCUUUUUUGGUGGCAUAUCUGUGACCUCAUGGGUUUCAUUUAGUAAGUAAACUUGGUGUGAAGUUGUUGAUUAUUGUUAUAUUUCUGAAAAUUAUGUGAUUCUGAAAUUUUUAUAAUUAUUUUGGUUGUUGUGUAGCAUGAAUUUGGUGAUGCAAUAACUGGGUGUAUCUCAACAGGUUGGAUUUGAUUUGUUUUUACUUUUGAGUUUUAAUUGGUUGAAGUUUUGGUUUUAGCUGUGUAUUUUGAUUGGUGAUUUAUUAUAUUACUAGAAAGUGUAAAAUUUGCCAUAUAUAUCAUUGUUUGAACCGGUUAUGCAAACUUUUUGAAAGUCAUAACUUUUAAGUUAUGAAUAUUAUUUUUCGUGUCCACCAUUUGCAAUGAGAUCCCUAUCAAUGGAAAUAUUAAACAGUGAAUCAUGAUAUCAUUGCUAUCCUCUUGGCUAAGGUACUGUGUGUGAUUUAAUAGAGUUGGGAAAGAGUAUAUUCUCACUUUAAUAUUCUCUUAGUCUUAGCUAAGGUGUGAUUUAAUAUGUAAUAAGGAGGAUAUAGAUGUAUUUGGUGAGUGCAUAUCUAUAGAAGACCCCACACUAAUCUAUUUGUAAAACCCAUAAAAGAUAAAGAGGGGGGGCGUGUAGUUAGAACUGUAGUUUAAGUGUUUGAUGAAAUGAGACUAAGAGAAUGUUUAUAUGCGUUAAUGUAUUGACACUUAUGAUUCAUAUUUUGGAGCCAGAUUGAAAUUUUAAUUAAAAAUAAUUUAAAUUAAAUGGAUUGUAAGUAUAUCAUUGAGUUCUAGGAAUUUCUUCUCUCCAAAUGUGAUAAACUCAUAUGAAAACACCCCGCUGGAUAACUUGCCAUGGUUGAGUGGGUUUUGGUGACAGACACUUUAUAACAAAUUUGCACCUAAAGUUCUUUUGACACUAUCAGUUUAGUACUCCAAUUAUUAUUUCUUGGUUAGUUGAUUCAAAUAGGAGGGGUUUAACUCUAAAUGUUUUCACUUUUUUCCCAAAAAAUGUAAGGGGGUAGGAAGAAAGAUAAAAAUAAGUUUUUUUGAUCAUUUUUAAUGCACAAAUCAAACCAAAUUGUGAAAUUCAUCUCAGGACUGAAGGAACAUCUCUUAUUAUUUGAUAGUGGAUUUGAUGCAUUAUCAGAUAAUUUACUAUUUUCUCUGUUUAUUUAUAAUUUGCUCUUUUUAAUAUAAUUUUUAUCAAAUAAUGUAGUUAUUUUUUGUAUUUUUUUGGUUCUCUGAUUGUACCAGGUGGGAAUUUGUGCCUCAAAAGUUGAGUAAUUUGCUAAGAGGGAAAUUUUCAUUUGUGUACCUGAAAAGUGUGGUUCAAAUGCAUGGUAAGUUGAAAUGUAAAUUUGAUGCAAGGCGGAUUAUUUUCUUAUGACGUGCAAAAUUUUGGAAUGAAAUGACAAAUUUAUUUUUCUUUUAAAAUUGAAUAUUGGCAAGUGCUAUUAGUCGACAAUGUCAUUGUCAACUGAAUGCAUAAUAUAAUAGUCUUAUCAAGUGAAAUUAUCUCUCAAGUUGUAUUGCAUAGUGCAGAAUAGAAUAUCGAAAAGAGUAUGUACAAGCCUUGAGAGUAGGCUAAGAGUUUGAACUUUGAAUUUGUGUGUGAAAAUCAGUUUCUAGACUUGAAAAAGUGCAGGAGCCUAUUUGCUAUUUUCACAACAAUUAUUAUAUUUCUACAAAUUUAAUAGUUGGGUUUGUUUGUUUUUAUUGAUUUCUUUUGUCCAUAUGGAUUCUCAUAUUGGAUGCUCUCAGGUUAUUCUUCAUGCUUAGAUGCUUUCUUAUCGAGUCCAAAGGUAGAAGAAAGAAACUUCAUGAGUUAUGUGAUUUUAUUAAUUUUUGUUAGUCCUUAUACGAUUAUACCUUAUUUUGUUUAAGUUAUUGUUAUCCAUCAUUUUUUGCAUUGUUGAUGUAUAUGAAAAUCUAUUAUACCAAAUAUAAACAUGUUACUGAAAUUAUCAAAUUAAAUUGAUUUCAGUCUUGAAAGUAUUAAUCUAGAAGAUAUAUUAGCAUGUGAGAAAAUAAAAUUCUAAGAUGGUAAUGAUGUUCAGUUGCUUUUAGUUAUUAUCAUGUAAAUAAUAUGUGCAGUUGCAAAAUUGUUAAUGGGUCUAUAGCAUCAAAACUCACAUCUGAUAUAUUUAAUAUUUGUAUGUGUUAAAGCAAAACAUGGUUUUUUUUAGUCUUUAUUUAGUUUUUCUAUACUAUAUUUUCUCACUCUAAACCCUUUUUUUUGGGUUUUGUUUUCUCUUUUAUAGUUUCAUAUUUGUGCUAUUUUUCUUUUCUUUUUUAGUGGGAUAACUUCUUUUUGAUUGGAAUAGAAUGAGGUGUGAGGCCAACUUAUAGAAUCACUUUCACUUGCAUGUGCUUUCUUUCAUUUUUUAAUUUAUUUCAUCUACUACAGCCUCUACAGGAUUGGAACAUUAAAGUUGUUGAUUCAGUUGAUAAAGAAAACUAUCUAAGUUGUUGAUUCAGUUGAUAAAGAAAACUAUCAAGACAAUUCAUCCAAAAAAGAUGCAAACAUUCAUGAAAAAAGAGUUGCAAUUUGAGGCCUAGAAAGCCUUUGUGCAAGCAGAAUAAUGCUAAUAAUUGAGGAAUAAAGCUCAGAUUCAGUUGUAUUUUUAUGUGGUGUUUAAAUUUUAAGAUGUAAAAUGUGUUAUGUUCGGUUUGAUAGUGUUUUGUAAUCAAUUAUGAGGACGACCGUGUUAAUAAAUUACACAAUCUAUUGUUCAAACUAGCCCGUACAUUGCACGGGCUAUCAACUAGUUAACAAUUAAUUAGAAAUCCAUCAAACUCUAGGAUGAAUUUUGAUAUAUAGCUACUUCUAACAUUUACUGAAAUUAACUCAUAAUUAAUUGGAAAUCCAUCAAACCUAAAAUUUAAGAACUGAAAAGAACUCAUUACUUAUUCUGAAUUAGCAACCCCUAUUUGGAACAACUCAGUAGAUAACAUCUACAUCAAAUAAACUCCUUUUCACAUUAAGAGUCUUUAUAGCACUUCCUCAAAAUUAACUACUAGUUCACCAGAACAAAAAUUCUAUUUAUAGAGAUACUUAGAAAAAAAUUAAAUUAUGAAACUCAAUUAAAAAAAGAAAAAUUAAACCUUGAACAACACCCAUUUCUUGGAGAGUUGGUAUUUCUUAGAGACCUGCAACUCUCUCUUCC
rnacentral:lncRNA from 1 species